CUCUCCGUCCAUCCUUCGUCUCCUUCUGUUCCCGCUCUCCUCGCUCCUUUCCUGCCUUGGCACUUCUGUUUUCUCCUCUCCUUAGCGCUCCUCCAUUUUUCAUCUACUUCUUUUUCCGCCCCAGGUUGUCCACUUUUUUUUUGUUUUUUGAGACGGUGUCUUGCUCUUUCACCCAGGCCAGAGUGCAGUGGGGCGAUCUUGGCUCACUGCAAGCUCCGCCUCCCGGGUUCACACCAUUCUCCUGCCUCAGCCUCCCGAGUAGCUGGGACUACAGGCGCCCGCCACCGCGCCCGGCUCAUUUUUUGUAUUUUUAGUAGAGACGGGGUUUCACCGUGUUAGCCAGGAUGGUCUCCAUCUCCUGACCUCGUGAUCCGCCCACCUCCGCCUCCCAAAGUGCUGGGAUGGCAGGCGUGAGCCACCGCGCCCGGCUGGGUUGUCCACUUUUAUCUCCUCUUUUCCUUGAUCGUCCUCCCCUUUUUUUCUCCUCUUCCUUUUCCUUAAGCCUUCGCCUGUCAAUCACGUCGAAACACAGUAUUUGACCGGAGCCAGUAUCUUGAUCUGCCUAAAGACAAGACAUUCAAUCGUGAACAGUCGAAUAUUAUUCCUUCCUCAAUUAUACAAAGAAGACUUCCUGCAGUGAGGACGGCGGGACCAGACAGACACGUGUAUUCACUCUGGUGUUGAGUGACCGGCCAGCGCGUUCCGGAAUCCAGAGAAAUCUCAGGACCCUGGGGCUGAAGUGGUUGGGAAAAGCUUCCUGAAGGUCCUUCCUGAGAUAAAGCUGGAAAGAGGGGCAGACUCUUCGUAAGUACAGACUAUUUUGGGCAGGGUCAAGGGUGAGAGAUGAGACUGAAGUGUGUGCACAGGAGAUGAAAGAGACCAACCUGGCUGCCCGGAGCUGGAUGGAAGUGCAGAGGGCCUCAAACACCAGGGUGGUGAGGCUGGAUCCAACCAGAGGCCUCUGACAGAGUCCAGGUAACCCUGAGCUCUGGCCCCAAUGUCCUGCUCCUGACCUCUGUGCCCUGGGCCAGUCCACAUCCUGACUCACACCAGGCCCCAUUCCCAUCUGAGCUCACCUUGGCCUGCGUCUUCGUCUGUUUUCUGUUGCUAUCACAGAAUAUCACAGACUGAGUAAUUUACAACGAAGAGAAGUGUAUUAGGCUGGCAGCGCAGGAGGCCGGGAAGUCUGAGAUCAAGGGGCCAGCAUCUGGUGAGGGCCCUGCUGACGUGUCAUCCUGUGGCAGUAAGUGGAAGGACGGGGUGUGUGUGCUCCAGAGACAGACCAAGAAGGGACCGAACUCGCUUUGAUAACAAACCCACUCCCAUGAUGAUAGCAUUGAUGGGCUCAGGAGGGCCCAGCCCUUGUGACCUCAUCACCUCUUAAAGGUCCCACCUCUCCGUGCUAUUGCACUGGGGACUAGGCUGCCAGUGCAGGAACUCUAGGGGACACUUUUAAGCCACGGCAGCUUCUCUGUCCCGACUCCCGUGGCCUUCCUGACUUUCAAGCCCCCCUUCCUCCAGGCUAAUAAUCACAAUUGUCCCUGUCCCAGCACAGGCCGUCAGCCCCUCCUCCACCCAGGCCAGAAUCAGCGGCAGCAACCCUGGGCACCCCGACCUGCCCUGCCUGCCUGGCCCUUGGGGGACUUUAGCCACGCUCUGAGCCCAUUUCCUCACCUGUAAACCGGGGUGAAGACGUUUCCUCCCUGAGCACGAAAUGUUUUUCCACCUUCCUGCUUCAGACUUUCUGGACCAGUGGGGAAGAGGGGACCUCCUGGAGCUGACUCAGCACCAGAAAACAGUCCCCACCAGCUCUCUAAUUUGACCCCAGAUGUGUCUUUCUCCUUGAAUACGGCGGGACGGGCGGCUCCCUCCCUCACCACCUCCCCUUAGAGCCCUGGAUUCUUAUCUUGAGUGCAAAGCAGGGCCUUGCCCCGGGGCCCCAGUACACCUCUCCUCCCUCCCAUUAGUCCUUCCAGCUCACCUCAGUUCUCCACCAAAGGCUGAGCGUGCCAGCUAUCCACGGGCGCCUGCCCAGGGCUUCCCGGCUGUGGCCAGGGCAAGAGGACAAGACAAGCUCUUGGACAACCCACUCCGCCCCGGCCUUCUGGCUUCUGGAAAGCCCUGGGGAAUUCCAAGCUCACUGCUGGCCCCAGCCCAAGCUGCCACACCCUGCCUCUCCAGCAGCACCAUAGCCUCACCCACAAAUACUCUCUGCUGCCAUCCAUUCCUCAGCCCUGCCUCCUCCUCCAGGAAGCCUCCCUGGUGACCCCAGCCCCCAGGAACAAAUAGCAUUUAUCUUUAUGCAGAAUUGCAGAACUUUUAAAAUUUUAUUUUUGAGACAGAAUCUUGCUCUUGUCACCCAGGCUGGAGUGCAGUGGCACAAUCUCAGCUCACUGCAACCUCUGCCUCACAGGCUCAAACCAUCCUCCCACCUCAGCCUCCCGAGUAGCUGGGAAUACAGAUGCACUCCACUACACCCAGCUAAUUUCAUAUUUUUAGUAGAGACGGGGUUUCGCCAUAUUGGCCAGGCUGGUCUUGGACUCCUGGCCUCAAAGGAUUCACCCGCCUUGGCCUCCCAAAGUGUUGAGAUUACAGAUGUGUGCCACGGCGCCUGGCCUCAAACUUCUUUUACAGAUUCAUGCUUUGUGGGGUGUAGGGUCUCCCCUUUGUUUCUGACCAAGUGCCCAGUGUUUGGGGGCUGCCGUGAGCCCCUCCUCUGCUCCCCGUACACAGAAUGGAAGCCUGGCUGAGUGCUAGACCACUCGUUUUCUGGACAGGGUCAGGCAGGCAUACCUGGGAGCAACCACACCGCGCCCGCGCGUGGCUGAGGGACAGGUUUGGGAACCUUGGAAGCGCGUUAGGCCUGAAGCUCAGAAUGCAGAAGCUUGAGCCGAGUAUUGGGCAGCCAUGGAAAAUGCUGCACCGCCACCCUGCCCGGAAAAAGAGGCAAGGCAGAGAGGACUCUGCAUAAUGGCAUCUUUGAGCAGGCCUGUCCGCAGCCACAGGGCUCUCAACGGGUGUUAUCUGGUGAGAGGGUGCCAGUAGCUGUGGGGGAAGGUGCUGUGCCUGCCAGACCUGCAGCUCCUAGGCUGAGCCACUUUUGGCCAGGUCUCCCCCAACGCCGGAGCCCCAAGCCACAGGCCCCAGAGUCCCCUGUGCUGGUGGCUUUCCUGGAGGGGUGAACUUCGCUGAAAGUUACCAGGUGGCCAUCUGGUUAGCAUGGACAAGUCCAGCCUGGAGCUACUGAACUGGGGACACAGCCCAAUCCAAGGCACCUUCUCUUAACUCAGCCAUGUGCCACAACUGCCUGAAGGACUGUGGGCCAGCUCACGUUUGGACAGGGCCUUUUAGCCUCCCCCGAGCCCAGGCAGGUCAUUUUGCAGAUGAGGAAACUGAGGUUACAGAGGCUGACACAUGGUUCUCCAGGGUGUUAUGUGGCAGACGUAUCUUCACUCCCCUGGUGUCUGUCCCUGUCAUUUCUGGGUGGGGAAGGUGAAAGGGGUUUCCUGGCAGGAAUCAGUCUGGUUCCUACAAAGGGCCGAGGCCAUCAUGCUGGGGCUGAGGCAGAUGCCGGCCAGCAGGCUACAUAAGGCGGAGAGGACCACACGUCACCCUCAGUGGCCAGGAGCACCAGUGCCAGGGCGAGCAUCCUGUCAGUAGCAGGGAGGUGGGGUGCACCUAGUGUGUCUGGAGUUUGUCCCUUCCGGUGGGUUUGUAGUCUCGCUGACUUUAAGAAUGAAGCUGCGGACCUUCACAGUGAGUGUUACAGCUCUUAAAGGUGGUGUGUCCGGAGUUUCUUCCUUCCGGUGGGUUCCUGGUCUCGUUGACUUCAAGAAUGAAGCCGCAGCCCUUCACGGUGAGUGUUAACAGCUCUCAAAGGUGGUACAGACCCAAAGAGUGAGCAACAGCAAGAUUUACUGUGAAGAGGGAAUCAACGAAACUUCCACACCGUGGAACAGGACCCUAGGGAGUUGCUACUACUGGCCAGGGGUGGGGUGGGUGGCCAGCUUUUUUUAUUCCUUUAUUUGUCCUUGCCCACAUCCUGCUGAUUGGUCCAUUUUACAGAGCACUGAUUGGUCCAUUUUACAGACUGCUGAUUGGUCCAUUUUACAAACCUCCAGCUAGCCACAAAGCACGGAUUGGUGCAUUUUUACAGAGCACUGAUUGGCACAUUUACAAACCUCUGGCUAGCCACAGAGCAUUGAUUGGUGCAUUUUACAAUCCUAGCUACAGAGUGCUGAUUGGUGCAUUUUACAAUCCUCUCGUAAGACAGAAAAGUUCUCCAAGUCCCCACUGGACCCAGGAAGUCCAGCUGGCUUCACCUCUCGCUAGGGGCACCUGCAGGAGACGCAGCAGAUAUAGGCAUCUUUGGUGAGUAUCCACUCCCUCUUAUGGUGGCUCCCUUAGGGCUCGUUCCUGUCCCUCUCUCAGUAGAUGGGGUUCCAGCCAGAUGGCCCCUUCUGUGCCCUGCAACAGGCCUGGGGCCAAGGCCUGAAGGCUGACCCAUAGCAUUCCUUUCCCUGUCAAAAUUCCUGCUGCUGAGAUGGGCACGAGUUCAACCCAGGAUGACAGACACCAUUCAGGGACUUUUGGAGGGAAUGUUUACUUUGGGUUUAUUGAGCUGGGUGUGUGGAAGUCAGAAGUGCUGGAGCCUGUGAGGGUGAAGGCAACACGAACUGCAGCUGACUGGGGGAGGUUGGGGAGUGGGGGAGGCACAGGCCUGGGGUCGGGGACGGGACCCUGGCCAGGGAUGCCCAGCAUCUACACAUAUGGUCCUUUAUCCCAGAUCCCAUCUUCACUGGGUUUCCAUCCCCUCCAAGAAGAGUCCAGCGAGGCUCAGAGCCCAGCAGUCUGAGGCCGGAGCGUGAUGUCUUGAUGGAGUGCAGCAGCAGGCGGCCACAGGGGGGCUCCAGUAAUCCCUCAGGCUGGCCUGGGCUGCAGAGGGGGUCCCAGCUGUAUCAGCACGCAAGGCCUGCUCUGGGGCAGGCUGGGAAGCCCUGGUUUGUCAGAGAACUGAAACCACACUGAGCAGACGCGGCUGCAACCCAUGCAGAGAGAGAAGAGCAGCUUUCAGGGCUGCUGACUUUGCACUGGAACCCCAGAUGACUCCCACAGACCCUGCUAGACCUCUCCACCAGGCUGCAGCUUCCAGGAGGAGGAGAUGCCCCAUGGCUGAUGCAACAAGUUACCACAAACCUGGUGGCUAACACAAGUUUAUUCUCUACAGUUCUGGAGGCCACAAGUCUAAAGUCAGUUGUACGGGGUAAAGUCAAGGUGUCAGCGGGGCUGGUUCCCUCUGGAGGCUCCAGAGGAGAAGCUGCUCCUGGCCUCUGCCAGCUCCUAAGGGCUGCCAGCAUUCCUUGGCUUGUGGCCACAACCUCCAGUCUCUGCCUCCCUGGUCACGUCGCAUUCUCGUCUGUGUGUAAUCUCUCUUCCACCUUCUCUUCUGUGUGUAGUCUCUUUUCCUCUCUCUUGUAAGGACACUUGUGAUUACAUUUAGGGCCCACCUGGCUAACCCAGGACAACCUUUCCAUCCCAAGAUCCUUAGCUUCGCCAGGUGCAGUGGCUCACACCUGUAAUCCCAGCAUUUUGGGAGGCCGAGAUGGGUGGAUCACUUGAGGCCAGAAGUUUGAGAUCAGCCUGGCCAACAUGGUGAAACCCCCUCUUUAAUAAAAAAUACAAAAAUUAGCCAGUUGUGGUGCAUGCCUGUAAUCCCAGUUGCUCGGGAGGCUGAAGCAGGACAAUCCCUUGAACCCAGGAGGCAGUUUGCAGUGAGCCGAGAUUGUGCUAGUGCACUCCAUCCUGGGCAAGGAAGUGAGA
rnacentral:lncRNA from 1 species